GCAUAUCAAUAAGCGGAGGAAAAGAAACCAACAGGGAUUGCCCUAGUAACGGCGAGUGAAGCGGCAACAGCUCAAAUUUGAAAUCUGGCGUCUUUGGCGUCCGAGUUGUAAUUUGCAGAGGGCGCUUUGGCAUUGGCAGCGGUCCAAGUUCCUUGGAACAGGACGUCACAGAGGGUGAGAAUCCCGUACGUGGUCGCUAGCCUUUACCGUGUAAAGCCCCUUCGACGAGUCGAGUUGUUUGGGAAUGCAGCUCUAAAUGGGAGGUAAAUUUCUUCUAAAGCUAAAUACUGGCCAGAGACCGAUAGCGCACAAGUAGAGUGAUCGAAAGAUGAAAAGCACUUUGGAAAGAGAGUUAAAAAGCACGUGAAAUUGUUGAAAGGGAAGCGCUUGCAGCCAGACUUGCCUGUAGUUGCUCAUCCGGGUUUCUACCCGGUGCACUCUUCUAUAGGCAGGCCAGCAUCAGUUUGGGCGGUUGGAUAAAGGUCUCUGUCAUGUACCUCUCUUCGGGGAGAACUUAUAGGGGAGACGACAUGCAACCAGCCUGGACUGAGGUCCGCGCAUCUGCUAGGAUGCUGGCGUAAUGGCUGUAAGCGGCCCGUCUUGAAACACGGACCAAGGAGUCUAACAUCUAUGCGAGUGUUUGGGUGUCAAGCCCGAGCGCGUAAUGAAAGUGAACGGAGGUGGGAACCUUUCGGGGUGCACCAUCGACCGAUCCUGAUGUCUUCGGAUGGAUUUGAGUAAGAGCAUAGCUGUUGGGACCCGAAAGAUGGUGAACUAUGCUUGAAUAGGGUGAAGCCAGAGGAAACUCUGGUGGAGGCUCGCAGCGGUUCUGACGUGCAAAUCGAUCGUCAAAUUUGGGCAUAGGGGCGAAAGACUAAUCGAACUAUCUAGUAGCUGG
rnacentral:rRNA from 1 species